CAUACCAUUUGAAAAAGUAGACAGCCCAGGGUAUUCAAAAUGGGGUAUGUCCAGUCUCUUAUAGUAGCCACUUAGUCACAAACACUGGCCAAAGUUAGCAUUUAUAUUUGUUUGUGUUUGAAAAAUGCAAAAAACUAAUAUGAACACUAACUUUGGCCAGUGUUUGUGACUAGGUGGCUACUAGAAAUAACUGGACAUACCCUAUUUUCAAUGCUUUGGGUUGUCUACUUUUGCAAAUGGUAUG